rnacentral:tRNA from 1 species
UCCCUGGUAGUCUAGUGGGUAGGACUCAGCACUUGCACUGCCAUGGACCUGAGUUCAAUCCCUGGUUGGGGAA